ensembl:lncRNA
AUAUAUAUAUAUAUAUAUAUAUAUAUAGCUGCUGUUUACAAAUGUGUGCAAGGUUGUGUGUUCAACUGCCUCACUUCUGUCUUCACUGCACACACACUGGUUUUGGCCCACAGAAAGAGAGUGAGUCACCUUUUGGGUUCAAAGGCCUGCCAAAAAUAUAAAAAUAGAGUGGAAGACACACACACACACACACACACACACACACACUAACCAGAAACAGAGUCACUUUAAACUAAAAUACAUCAAACUACUGAAAAACACUGGUUUCUCUGUCACAGCCCACCUAUUGGACAGAGACAUAUGUGUCCCUCCCACUGUGGGCACCUAUAGUUGAGGGGGCGUCGACCUGUCUAAUACCCACCCCCAUUCUGCUCUUGUCUGACUCCAUGGAGAAUGUGAGAGAGAGACAGCCUCUGAAGUUUUGGAAGUUUAUCUUUCCUUGGCUUUAAUCUUGGAUGUCAAAUCCCCUUUCUUUUAUUUCGGUCACUCACACACACACACACACACACACACACACACACACACACACACACACACACACACCUGCACAUCCUUGACUCGCACAAUUGAUAAUUACCAUCCUGUCUCACCUGUGAACCUCUUCUCUCUCUACUCUUCCUCUUCCUGUCGCAUUCUCUCCAUCUCUCUCUCCUGUCAUCUCCUACUCUUUCUUUCCGGAGCAGUGAGUGAGUCUCGGUGGAGGAGCAGAGACAGAGAGAGAGGGCUGCAUUAUGUGUUUUUGCUAUUCAGGAAAAAAAAACAAGAAAGAGUAAACAUAACAGAGAAAGUAUUCAUCUGUCUCUCUAUACACGUCAAGAUACUGUAUGUUAGUACAGGCUCAAGACUGCAGGUGUCUGACUAACUUUGACCAAAGCAAACUUCAUUUUACAGUACUGGAUAUUUUUAUCCUUGUACCAUGUUAUAGAGGAGGUGUGUGUGCAUGAGUGCUUUGUGUGGAUUUCCUUAAUAUGAAGUUUCAAGGUCGAACUUAUGAAACAAAUUAGAGUUUGCUAUGAAUAAAUGGCAAACAAAUAGAGAUCA